AUGUCGCUCCCUCAGCUCUGCUGGCACCCACCUCCCAACAGGCCUGAGAAGUGUUUGCGGAAUGAAUGCAUGAGCUUGCCCAGACUUUCACACAGAAGGCCGUCUGCUGUCCUGUGCACGCCGGCCGUGGAGCCCGGGCUCUGUGUCCGGACCCGCCAUCCGCCAAGCAGAGGGCUCUCCGCCCUGGGGACACAUCACGAAGCAGCAGCCCAGGGACUUCCCGAGGUCAGGAAAGGCAGGGCGCCUGAGAAUACACGUUUCCUGACGGCGCACAGACAGCCCCACAGCCACUUUCCCUCCUGCCACGUGGAGGCCACCUCUGAGACCCCAGCCCAGAAGACACCAAAGUGAGCCAGGAAAGAAAAGCAGCCACCGCUCCCAUCGGACUGGGCGGCACCAGUCUGGUCCAGAGGCAGAGCCGCGGUGCCCACAUGGUGCCCACACCUGAGCAUGGCCCGCAUCCCGUGACAGCCCGCGCUCACAGCACCCACGGUGUUACGAUGCCCGGAGAGCCGGGACAGUCCCUCCCCUCCACGGGGGAGGAAGCACGGCCACCGGCUCGUGCAGCGGAGCCUGGAGCCCGCACCAAGCCAUCGGGGAACCAAGGUCCUGAGAAGCAGAAUGUCUGAGAACAGCUUGUCCUCAGCAGCUGAUUCAGACCAUGCUUCUCCCACCCACAGGCAGGACGCCCGAAACACAGUGCACUUGAAGAUGUGGCCUUGGCAAAGCCCAGGCCUUUCCCAGACUCCGUUUCCAUCUCCCCAUCUAUGGCUUCUGUGCGGGGUUGAACCAACCAGGGCUCCCCAAAACGCCUACCCCACCCCAAGUGUCUGGGGUCUGACCGCCAUGGAAAAGCAGCAGGUCGCCCAGCAAGCGGAUCCUAGGUGGGCUGAUCUCAGACAGUCUAGGAGGUCAGCUUGAGGUGGGAAGCUGCAGGGCGCCAGGGGGCCAGAGGGCAGCCCGCCACGCCCGGGCUCUGUCCUGAGGUCACGGGCACAGCCUCCCUGGAGACAGAGGUCCCCCAUCGGAAGCACAGGCAUCUGCCCUGCAACUGGCAACAACCGGGAACAUUCUGCUGUGGGCUACAUACCAGAAAUGCAGGGGUUGGAAGUAGCCAUCCUGGAAGGCUUUCCAUGAGGUGAUUUGUCUCUCUCGGGAAGGAGUCCAGCCCUGAACAGUAGGGUUCCAGGAGCGAAGCCUGGGCCACCUGGGCCCAGCCUUCCUAGCUCUGAAGCUAGGGGGCCCCGCCCGCCCGGGAGCAAGAGACCACAUGUGGGGAACCAGCCCAGCAUGCUGCCCCCAAGCGCGUGUGGAGCAACCACUUUGCUGGGGGAACACUAGUUCCUGGAAACACAAAGAUCAUGUGCACUUGCCUGCCUCCCAGGAGCUCGUAACCCAGCGUGUCCUGGCUUGGCCCUUGACAGCCGAGUGACAGGGGCCUAGACCAAGGGCCCAGACGAGGGUUUCUCUGCAGUAAGAAAUGGGCCUGUUAAUGCGGUUCCCCAACCCGAAGGUCGUCACGCCCAUCCCGAGGGGAAGGUCCAGUGGGAAGUGGACACCGUGCUCUGCAAGAUGAGGGGAAGGACGAAACCAAGUCCAGGGAAGGGUGGGCCGCAGUCUUGGCCAGCACUCAGGAGCAGCUACCCCCAGGGUCAGGCCCACUGGGUGGGUGCAUCUGCGGGACCCCUUGUCCCCCAGCCCCCAGGAAACCAUGCCUUGUGCUUCUGCCAUGAGUUUCUGCCCCAUGUCUAGCUGUCUGAAACUCAUUAUCAUGAAUUGCUGUGGAAUUUUGGUUUACACACCUGUGUGAAGACUCCCCUUGAUUCUGUGCAUAUGGUGAUUUUCAUUCUUUUUUUUUUUUUUUAAUGUGAAACCAACCUUGCAUUCCUGGGAUCAAACCCGCCAGGUUAAGACGUGUUAAGGAUCUAAGAUGUAGACCCUUGCUCUACAUAGCUGGAUGCUAUCUGUGACGUAUCGUCAACAACUUUUGCAUCUAUAUUUACAAGGGAUAUUGAUCUAUGGCUUUCUUUUCUUGUAAUUCGCUUGUUAUGUAUCUGAGCUCCACUGUUCCUAUAAAAUGAGUUAGAAAGCAUUCCCUACUCCUUGAUUUUAUUAGUUUAAAACUGCUGUUAAAGCUCCCUUAAGGGAUCCCUGGGUGGUGCAGCGGUUUGGCACCUGCCUUUGGCCCAGGGUGCGAUCCUGGAGACCCGAGAUCGAAUCCCACAUCGGGCUCCCAGUGCAUGGAGCCUGCUUCUCCCUCUGCCUAUGUCUCUGCCUCUUCUCUCUCUCUCUCUAUGUGACUAUCAUAAAUAAAUAAAAAUUUUUUAAAAAGCUCCCUUAAGUA
rnacentral:lncRNA from 12 species